CCUACGGGAGGCAGCAGUAGGGAAUCUUCCACAAUGGGCGAAAGCCUGAUGGAGCAACGCCGCGUGGGUGAAGAAGGUCUUCGGAUCGUAAAACCCUGUUGUUAGAGAAGAAAGUGCGUGAGAGUAACUGUUCACGUUUCGACGGUAUCUAACCAGAAAGCCACGGCUAACUACGUGCCAGGAGCCGCGGUAAUACGUAGGUGGCAAGCGUUAUCCGGAUUUAUUGGGCGUAAAGGGAACGCAGGCGGUCUUUUAAGUCUGAUGUGAAAGCCUUCGGCUUAACCGGAGUAGUGCAUUGGAAACUGGGAGACGUGAGUGCAGAAGAGGAGAGUGGAACUCCAUGUGUAGCGGUGAAAUGCGUAGAUAUAUGGAAGAACACCAAUGGCGAAAGCGGCUCUCUGGUCUGUAACUGACGGUGAGGUUCGAAAGCGUGGGUAGCAAACAGGAUUAGAUACCCUGGUAGUC
rnacentral:rRNA from 1 species